GUGCCUGUUAUGGCAGCACAUAUACGAAAAUUAGAACGAUAUACAUAUUAGCAUGGCCCCUGCACAAGGAUGACAUGCAGAUUCAUGAAGCAUUCCAUAUUUUU